GUCCGGGUCCCGACGCCUUACCUUUGCCGAACUGGGGGACACCGAGGCUGAGCCCGACCAAGAGCCAGACGGCUACCGAGCGCUUCAUGAUCCCGUCUCCCGGACGUGACCCCGGCUGGUCAGGGGUCGUCGCGGAGGGCAGUGUAGCCGAGGUGGCAGCGCAGGGCAGCAGCAGACUCCGCCCCUACUAAAGAAUUCAAGAAGACGUUCUCUUUCCUCAGCGCUUUGUUAAACAAAUUCUUGGAGAGGGCGAGAGUGGUGACUAAAGAGAGGAGCCUUUCCUCCCCUUUUGCCUGCGCUCCGGCGCGCGGAGAGCCUUUGGAAGGAAUUGGGCCAUGAGAAGAGCCCUCAUGAAUGGGAUUAGUUCCCUUAUAAGAAGAGACACCAAGGAAGUGAUCUUUCUCUGCCCUCUGCUAUGUGAAGACAAGGUCAUCUGCAGUUUUUUGUUGUUGUUGAUGAUCUUCCUGUCAUAGACAAUGCUGUAACAAACAGACUAAUUGUUCACUGUUGACAUAUAGAAGUACUACUGAUUGGCCAGACAUAGUGGCUCAUGCCUGGAAUCCCAGCACUUUGGGAGGCCAAGGCAGGUGGAUCACUUGAGCCCAGAAGUUUGAGACCAGCCUGGGCAACAUGAUGAAACCCCAUCUCUACAAAAUAAAUAGAAAAAUUAGCUGGGUAUGGUGGCAUGUGCCAGUAGUCCCAGCUACAUGGGAGCCUGAGGUGGGAGGACGACUUGAGCCCAGGAGGUGGAGGUUACAGUGAGCUGAGAUCAUGCCACUGCACUCCAGCCUGGGUGACAGAGUGGGACUCUGUCUAAAAAAAAAAUUGUAUUAUCUGUAAACGGAAA
rnacentral:lncRNA from 1 species